rnacentral:rRNA from 1 species
GGGGAAUUUUGGACAAUGGGCGAAAGCCUGAUCCAGCAAUGCCGCGUGCAGGAUGAAGGCCUUCGGGUUGUAAACUGCUUUUGUACGGAACGAAAAAGCUCCUUCUAAUACAGGGGGCCCAUGACGGUACCGUAAGAAUAAGCACCGGCUAACUACGUGCCAGCAGCCGCGGUAAUACGUAGGGUGCGAGCGUUAAUCGGAAUUACGGGGCGUAAAGCGUGCGCAGGCGGUUAUGUAAGACAGAUGUGAAAGCCCCGGGCUCAACCUGGGAACUGCAUUUGUGACUGCAUGGCUAGAGUACGGUAGAGGGGGAUGGAAUUCCGCGUGUAGCAGUGAAAUGCGUAGAUAUUAGGAGGAACACCGGUGGCGAAGGCGGCUUGCUGGACAAAUACUGACGCUGAGGUGCGAAAGCGUGGGGAGCAAACA